CAUUUUUGGAAUUCAGCUAAAGCCCACGGUGCAUAGUUGUAUAUUCUUAGUUGUGGGUCCUUCUAGUUGUGGCAUGUGGGACGCUACCUCAGCAUGGUUCAACGAGCAGUGCCAUGUCCACGCCCAGGAUUCGAACCGACGAAACACUGGGCCGCCUGCAGCGGAGCGCGCGAACUUAACCACUCAGCCACAGGGCCAGCCCCUGGAAUCAUAUUCUUCAGUCCUCUUUCUGAUCCCAUCAGGAUACAACUUUACAUUUAGCUGUCAUGACUGGUUAGGUGCCUCUUGGCUAUGACAGUUUCUCAGCCUUUCCUUGUUUCUGAACAACCUUGACAGUUUUCAGGAGUACUGACCAGGUAUUUUGUAGAAUGUCUCUCUGAUGGAAUUUGUCUGAUGUUUUUCUUAUGAUUAGACUAGGGUUAUGGGGAGGAAAACCACAAAGGUAAAAUGUCAUUCCCAUCACAUCAUAUCAAGGGUACCUGCUAUCAACAUGGC
rnacentral:lncRNA from 1 species